CUGUCAAUGUUUUAGAGUUCAGAAGUCCAAAAUCAAGGUCAAGGUGUAAGCAGAUUUUCACUCCUCUGAACAGGUUUCUCAUCUUGGGGCUGCAUACUUCCAAACUCUGCCUCUGUCUUUACCUGGCCAUCUUUUCUGUGUUUCAGAUCUCUCUCUGCAUUUCUCUGUAAGAAUGCCUGCCAUUGGAUUCCAGGCCCACCCUAAAUCAACAAUGAUCUCAUCUCAAGAUCCUUACAUUAAUUACAUCUGCAAGAUGCUUUUUACAAAUGAGGUCACAUUCAGAGGUUUUAAAUGUUAAAACCUGGGCAUGUCUUUUUGGGGUCCACUAUUCAACCCACUGCAGUUAGGAGAUUGGAUGAGUUUCUGACAAGUGGACUCGAUCAUUUCUGUGAGAUACUUAACUAUCAGAAAACAUUUACAGAUGAAGAAAGAAGAACAUCUGAACACAGACUGAGGUAAUAGAGAAAACAAGGAAAUGAAUCUCAGAUAUGCGAUGAAGUUGGAAAAGAGAAUGACAGGAUACUUUUAGCUUGAAGUAAUUUGAAAGAUAGAGACUUCGAAAUACCUUAGAAAUAUUGGAUAUCACAAGAAAGGGCCAACUUCCCUCAGAAUUAUGACAAGGCACUGAAUUACGAGUUAAGGUCUCUUGGCUUCAGCCUUUAGCCUACUCCUUGCGGCCUUGUGACUUUAGGAAAGCAAUUUAGAUUAUCCAAGUCUCAGUUUUCUCAUCAGGGAAAUGCAGAGAGUAUUUUUUUUUAUAAUGGUGUUUUUAUUUGUAUGUAAAUAUUAAAGGGUCGUCAGCUAUAAAUAACUAUGAUAAUGACAGAGAUUUUAUUAGUCUUGGUGUUUCAUUUGUGGGUUGACUUUACUCCUGCAUAAUAGGAGCCAGUUGCGUACAGUGACUUGAGGGGUUUCCAGAGGAUUCUCUGCCUGUCAUAUUUCUCCUGAAUUAGACCAUGAUGAAACGACUAAAUCAUUUUCAUGGAGACCAAAGUUUUUAUAGCCUCAGCUUAAUUGAUUUAGGAACAUUAAGAUGCAAAUGUUAUCAAAGACAGGGCUCAACACAACUGUGGACAUCUAAACCCUUGACUAACCAGUCACCUAGCAAUGUCUGAAGAGAAUGGGUCAGAACUGCCACUAAAUAGGGUGGCCCAAAGAACUUGGGGUCACCAUGAAAAUAGUAAAUGCCUAUCAAGAGAACACCUGAGAGGAGCAAGGCAUAAAGAAGAGAGGAAAGGCCUUCUGCAGGUGACUUCACAAUUUUGACUCAGGCUGGUUUGUUCUGCCAAGAACCGAGGACUUUGAUAGAUGGCAGCCUUUGAUCUUUGUUCCUUUGCAUUCCAUCUCAUUGCCAUUGUUUUUCUGAACAAAUGGCUCCUAGGACUGUGUCCCAAGUAAUCCUCCUAGAGCAAUUGUGAUCUGGAGAGCUAACUUUACACCAGCAAGUCAUGCUUCCCAU
rnacentral:lncRNA from 1 species